UCUCUUCUGCCAUUCCCAGCUCCCGGAAUCCUGCACAGAAGGGUUGCUGUCUAUCUUUCACUGGGUUAUCUUCUCUUUCUGGUGCGCUGUCACAGCGAUGAAUUCUGUUUGGGGGAACAGGGCCGGCCUUAGCCGCCACCAUCCAACAAGAAUUGUGGAAUCUACAUCGACAGUCGUCGGCAGUUAUAAUGUCCAUCAACAAAUGCACUUGGCCUUCUUAUCCGGCCCAGAACACCUUACUUUAAAGGGGGGACAUUCGCCUUCCCGACUGGGUAAUGACCGUCUCGGUGCCGCUUGUGGAACUGAUCCCCACGUGCUUUGGCCUCAGGUGCACCUUGGGAGCGUCCUGCACCUCUUCCUCAGGCUCCAGGGUCUUCAGAGGCUCAGAGGCCCUGGGGCCGCAGGGAGGAGAAGGGGGUGCGGGGCCUCGGCCGCCCCACCAGUUGGUGCAGGAUGGGCUUGGCCAGGGCGCAGUGGCCUGUUGGGAGGCAGAGUUGGCGGGAAGAAGGGCGGCUGGUGGCCCAGCACCGCGCUCAUGGCGAAGUCCGGCGCCGCCCGGGGAGGUGGGAACGGACGGUAGGCCAUGCUUGUCCGGGGACGACCCACCUCUCAUGGAGAGGUCCCUCCGCUCCGGGCGGGGCGCUGGGCUUCAUGGGGACAGUCCGCAGCUGCUGUUUUGUUUUGAUUAACAGCAGCACAUAGUUGUUUUUUA